GACGAAGGAUGCAAGCGUUAUCCGGAUUCAUUGGGUUUAAAGGGUGCGUAGGCGGCCCUGUAAGUCAGUGGUGAAAUCUCUCAGCUUAACUGAGAAACUGCCAUUGAUACUGCAGGGCUUGAGUACAGAUGAUGUUGGCGGAAUAUGACAUGUAGCGGUGAAAUGCAUAGAUAUGUCAUAGAACAUCGAUUGCGAAGGCGGCUGACAAAACUGUAACUGACGCUGAGGCACGAAAGUGUGGGGAUCAAACAGG
rnacentral:rRNA from 1 species